rnacentral:misc_RNA from 1 species
UGCUCGCCGAGCUUCUUCCAGCCGCGCCGUCGCCUUGCUGCUCGCCCGUCCGCGCGCCACUUCGUCCCUGGCCACCGUCCGCCGUCGAGUCCAUACGCGCGAGCCCCUCUCCCUAGCACUUCCCCGCCGGAGUGCUCGCCCCCGACCCCGCCCGUCGCGCCCGCCGGAGAGCGCGCCCCUGGCCCCGCCCGUCGCGCCCGCCAGAGCUCCCACCCCCGACCUCGCCUACCCCGGCCGCCGCGCCCGAUGGAGCGCCCGCCCUCGUCCCCGCCCGCAGCGCCCCUCACCGCCCUACCCCGCCGGCGCCCCCGCCGGCCCGCCCAUUGAUGCCUCCGCCCCGCCCGGUCUACGCCCAAACGCCCGCGACCCG